AUACGGAGGAUCCGAGCGUUAUCCGGAUUUAUUGGGUUUAAAGGGUGCGCAGGCGGCCAUUUAAGUCAGCGGUUAAAUCGUGGGGCUCAACCCCAUUCUGCCGUUGAUACUGGGUGGCUUGAUUGCGGUCGAGGUUGGCGGAAUUCGUUGUGUAGCGGUGAAAUGCAUAGAUAUGACGAAGAACACCGAUUGCGUAGGCAGCUGACCAGACCGCAAAUGACGCUCAUGCACGAAAGUGCGGGGAUCGAACAGGAUUAGAUACCCUGGUAGGCCGCACAGUAAACGAUGAAUACUUGUUUUCGGCGAUAUAAUGUCGGAGGCAAAGCGAAAGCGAUAAGUAUUCCACCUGGGGAGUACGCCGGCAACGGUGAAACUCAAAGGAAUUGACGGGG
rnacentral:rRNA from 1 species